UCACAAUGAUGUUAGAAUUUCUUCACCUGAGAAUAAGUUCAUAUAAUCGAUCUUUUUCAAAGGAUGAAAUGUGAU